rnacentral:rRNA from 1 species
AUGGUUCGGGCGACCCGGUCGUUUCCUUUACAAGUAUCUACUCGGUUGAAUCUGCUCCCAGACUCUGAGUACCGUACACUCCACUUUGUGGCCCAGUCUCAGCCACAGACCGCAGAGCAGCUGUCCGGCAAGCAAGAGCACAAGCCAAAAAGCGGAGGGAACACGAAAAUGAUUAAGGGGGCUCGGACGAAACCGAGUCGGCACCCUCCGCAUAAAACUUGCAAUGCUAAAAAGCAAACAUUUGAUAUAUCUGCGCGGACUAACUUUGUCUUUUUCAUGAUCAUUUCCAUGAACACUCGCCAAAAAACCUCCGCCCAACUUUGUGAAGUUGCCCGGAGGCUUGGGGGCUACUGUCGGAGUAUUUAG